rnacentral:rRNA from 1 species
AUUGAACGCUGGCGGCAUGCCUUACACAUGCAAGUCGAACGGCAGCACGGGAGCAAUCCUGGUGGCGAGUGGCGAACGGGUGAGUAAUAUAUCGGAACGUGCCCAGUCGUGGGGGAUAACGUAGCGAAAGCUACGCUAAUACCGCAUACGAUCUAUGGAUGAAAGCGGGGGAUCGCAAGACCUCGCGCGAUUGGAGCGGCCGAUAUCAGAUUAGGUAGUUGGUGAGGUAAAGGCUCACCAAGCCGACGAUCUGUAGCUGGUCUGAGAGGACGACCAGCCACACUGGGACUGAGACACGGCCCAGACUCCUACGGGAGGCAGCAGUGGGGGAAUUUUUGGACAAUGGGCGCAAGCCUGAUCCAGCAAUGCCGCGUGCAGGAUGAA